CAGGCAGCAUUCCACAAAAUAUCCAAUGGGGUAUCAUACUGGGUAUUCUUGUACCCCUUAUAUGUAUUUUGGUGGUGAUCUGCAGGUGUUAUGAGGUGGGGAAAUCCAAUCAGAGGAACACAGAUAUUCCCUCUGUGGCACAAGAGGAGAUGGUGUACCGUCCGCCACCCGAGAACCCAAUGAUGAACCGCCUUUUGAUGGUUUUUGCACCUGACAGUACAGCAAUGAGCCCCCCUACCUAUGACGAGGUCCAGGUUGACCGGAAUGGAGGAGAAGGUACAUUGUGCUCAGAACCGCCAGCCUAUGAUUCCAUUUCUGAUUGCACCGCGUCUGCCCCCGAUGCCUGUGACUGCAGCUGUGACUGCAGCUAGCUAUCCUGGAUUCAGAGCUGAGGACCCGACUGAAAAAACCAAGUGACUGCCAGACAAGCUGGGGGAGAUGGCCGACACCGCCACCUCCACCUGGUUUGAGAACACUGUCCGAAAAAGCUCAUGGGCCAAGGUGAAAAUCAAGUAGAGGAACUUUUCUCUGAUUUCUCUGAUCCUGUGGCUGCAAUGGAAAAGCUGCUGGAAACAUCAUUUUGCUUUGCUCAUUUCCCCCUCCUGGGACCCUUAUAAAGAGGAAAUGCUGCCUGAGUCUUUGCUUUUAGCAACUGAUCUUCAUAAACAUUGCUUUCUCCAGCUGUGAAGGCAGAACCACUCUCUGGGGUUCUAUUUCAUAUCUACAUAAAGCCAUUGUUAGAGAUUUCAGGGCAAAUGCUGCCUUUUAUCUACUGCAGCUAUUUUGACAGCUACAGCCAUACCCAGACCAUGAAAGCCUUGCCACAGUAGUUCAUAUACUUCAAGACUGGAUUGCUGCAACGUGCGGGUUUCCUCUCUUGAUAUGGAAGCUGCAGUUGUUGCAGAAUGCUGCAGCAUGAUCACUGAUAGGUGUGUGGCUUUGUCAGCACAAGCGCCCCCUUUUCAGAGCUCUGCACUGGUUGCCAGUUGGCCGAUGUCCUGCCAACUUCAAGGUGUUCAUAUUAGGACUGGCAACGGCUGUUUUGUGCAUGAUCAAAGCAACACCUUGAUGGGGUGGUGGCAUAACGGAGCAUAGGUAAAGGUAAAGGGACCCCUGACCGUUAGGUCCAGUCGUGGCCGACUCUGGGGUUGCAGUGCUCAUCUCGCUUUAUUGGUUGUGGGAGCCGGCGUCCAGCUUCCGGGUCAUGUGGCCAGCAUGACUAAGCCACUUCUGGCAAACCAGUGCAUGGAAACGCCGUUUACCUUCCCGCCAGAGCAGUACCUAUUUAUCUACUUGCACUUGCUUUAGAACUGCUAGGUUGGCAGGAUCUGGGACUGAGCAACGGGAGCUCACCCCAUCGCGGGGAUUCGAACUGCCGACCUUCUGAUUGGCAAGCCCUAGGCUCUGUGGUUUAACCGACAGAGCCACCCGCGUCCCUUAUAACAGGGCAUAGUGGGCGGUAAGAGCGCAUAAUGGGGUUGGAUUGGGCUGGGCUGCAUUGCACUGCAGCGCGAGAUGACCCAGAACACAAUCCCCAUGCAAAUUGAGAGUUGCCUGUAUAUAAAGCCCUUAACAGCUUGGGAGCAGUUUACAUACAAAACCGCCUUACCUCACAUAUGCCCACUCAUCUGCUUCAAUUGGCAGAAUUGCACUAGUACAGGUGUCCCACAAUAUCAGCCCUGUGUGUGUAAGAACUCAACCCUAUAGCAUGGCAAAGCUUGCACUUUGGAACUCCCUGCCUGUAGAACUCAAGCAGGUGCCUUCACUGUCGUUUAUAAAGACACUGAACAACAACAUCACUUUUAAUCUGUUUCAGUAUUUUAACUUUUGUCUUUUUUAAAGGCAGGCUGUAUUUUUUUCCUCGAUUUUAUCUUUUGCAAACCGCUUUGAGGUGCUACCAAAUGCAUAGCCUCCAACAUGUCAAGGCGAAAAACUGGGCCACUGUGCUGCUGUGUGGGAAAAUGGGAUGUUCCAGUUGUAAUGGGACAGUUGAGGGCAUCUGAAGUAGCAACAGCUUUUCUUCCAAAUGAAGAAGUUAUAUUAUUAUUAUUAUAUUAUAUCUAUUAUAACUAUUCUUUUUUAAAAUGUGAUGCUUAUUGUUGUUAUAAUAUUAUGUAAAUUGCUUGUGAGGUCUCCCUGAAAAGCGGUAUAUAAAUUCUGCAAAUAAUAAUAAUACAAAUGUAUCUUUUGAAACCUCAGGCACUACAGUGUUAA